rnacentral:rRNA from 1 species
CAGCUCUUGACAUGCCUCGUAUGGGGUGGGGAGACCCAUUCCUUCGGUUCGGCCGGCGGGGANACAGGUGCUGCAUGGCUGUCGUCAGCUCGUGUCGUGAGAUGUUGGGUUAAGUCCCGCAACGAGCGCAACCCCCACCUUCAGUUGCCAUCGGGUUAAGCCGGGCACUCUGGAGGAACUGCCGGUGACAAGCCGGAGGAAGGCGGGGAUGACGUCAAGUCCUCAUGGCCCUUAUGGGCUGGGCUACACACGUGCUACAAUGGCGGUGACAGAGGGGUGCGCGGGGGCGACUCGCAAGCCAAUCUCGAAAAGCCGUCUCAGUUCGGAUUGCUCUCUGCAACUCGGGAGCAUGAAGUCGGAAUCGCUAGUAAUCGCGGAUCAGCAUGCCGCGGUGAAUA